GUGUUGUUUGUUAAGGGCACACGGUGGAUGCCUUGGCAUUAUGAGCCGAUGAAGGACGUGUAAGGCCGCGAUAGGCCUCGGGGAGUUGCCAAUAGAGCGUUGAUCCGAGGGUGUCCGAAUGGGGAAACCUGGCCAUGGUUAUGUGUGGUUACCCAUCAGUGAAUUCAUAGCUGGUGUGGGGGUGACGCGGGGAAGUGAAACAUCUCAGUACCCGUAGGAGAAGAAAAUAAUUAAUGAUUCUGCUAGUAGUGGCGAACGAACGUGGAUGAGGCUAAACCGUAUGCGUGUGAUACCUGGCAGGGGUUGCGUGUGUGGUGUUGUGGGGCGUUGUUGGAGGAGGCUGCCGGCUCCUCGCUUGUUAUAUGUGUGUGUUAGCGGAAGUGGUUUGGAAUGGCCUGCCGUAGUGGGUGAGAGUCCCGUACGUGAAAACAUGUGCAUGCGAGUGGAUGAUGUUCCCGAGUAGCAGCGGGCUCGUGGAAUCUGCUGUGAAUCUGCCGGGACCACCCGGUAAGCCUAAAUACUUAUGAUGACCGAUAGCGGAUAGUACCGUGAGGGAAUGGUGAAAAGUACCCCGGGAGGGGAGUGAAAUAGUACCUGAAACCGUGUGCUUACAAUCCGUCAGAGCCUUGUUGUUAGGUGAUGGCGUGCCUUUUGAAGAAUGAGCCUGCGAGUCAGCGGCAUGUCGCGAGGUUAACCCGUGUGGGGUAGUCGUAGCGAAAGCGAAUCCUAAUGAGGGUGUUUUUAAGUGGCAUGUCCUGGACCCGAAGCGGGGUGAUCUACCCAUGGCCAGUGUGAAGCAGCUGUAAGAGGUUGUGGAGGCGCGAACCCACUUAGGUUGAAAACUGAGGGGAUGAGCUGUGGGUAGGGGUGAAAGGCCAAUCAAACUCCGUGAUAGCUGGUUCUCCCCGAAAUGCAUUUAGGUGCAGCGUUGUGUGUUUCUUGCUGGAGGUAGAGCUACUGGUUGGUUGAGCGGGACUACAAUCUUAGCAAUGUCAGCCAAACUCCGAAUGCCGGUAAUGUUAAGCAUGGCAGUGAGACUGCGGGGGAUAAGCUCCGUUGGUCGAGAGGGAAACAGCCCAGAUCGCCGGUUAAGGCCCCUAAGGGUGUACUAAGUGGAAAAGGAUGUGGGAUCGCGAAGACAGCCAGGAGGUUGGCUUAGAAGCAGCCAUCCUUGAAAGAGUGCGUAAUAGCUCACUGGUCGAGUGGUUCUGCGCCGACAAUGUAGUGGGGCUCAAGUACACCGCCGAAGCCGCGGCAGUCAACAAUGUGUUUUGUUGGUUGGGUAGGGGAGCGUCGUGCACUGCUGUGAAGCACCUGGGUGACUUGAUGGUGUGGAGUGUGUGCGAGUGAGAAUGCAGGCAUGAGUAACGAAUGAAAAGUGGAAAACUUUUCCGCCGGAUGACUAAGGGUUCCUGGGUUAAGCUAAUCUUCCCAGGGUGAGUCGGGACCUAAGGCGAGGCCGACAGGCGUAGUCGAUGGAUAACCAGUUGAUAUUCUGGUACCCGUGUAUGUGCGCCCAGUGGUGAAUCAGUGGUACUAACCAUCCAUUGAUCUGCUGGUCAUGCUUUGUGUGUGGUUGGUGGUGAUGUGCGUGGGAUCUUCGUUGGUAGUAGCCAAGUGAUGGGGUGACGCAGUGAGGUAGCUGAGCCAUUUAUUGGAUUGUGGUGUAAGCGUGUGGCCCGUGGCAUAGGUAAAUCCGUGUUACAUAGUGGGUGAGGCGUGAUGCGUAGACCUUUGUGGUUGAUGUUGGUGAUCCUGUACUGUCGAGAAAAGCCUCUAGCGAGUGCAUAUAUGGCCCGUACCCAUAACCGACACAGGUGGUCAGGUAGAGAAUACUAAGGCGAUCGGGUGAACUGUGGUUAAGGAACUCGGCAAAUUGCCCCCGUAACUUCGGGAGAAGGGGGACCAUUGCUGGUGACCGACGUGGUUGAGCUGGUGGUGGUCGCAGAGAAUAGAGGGAAGCGACUGUUUAUUAAAAACACAGGUCCGUGCGAAAACGUGGAAGUUGAUGUAUACGGACUGACGCCUGCCCGGUGCUGGAAGGUUAAGAGGACCUGUUAGGGCAUUUUUUGUCCGAAGCGGAGAAUUUAAGCCCCAGUAAACGGCGGUGGUAACUAUAACCAUCCUAAGGUAGCGAAAUUCCUUGUCGGGUAAGUUCCGACCUGCACGAAUGGCGUAACGACUUCCCUGCUGUCUCAACCACAGGCCCGGUGAAAUUGCAGUACGAGUAAAGAUGCUCGUUACGCGCGGCAGGACGAAAAGACCCCGGGACCUUCACUAUAGCUUGGUAUUGGUGUUUGGUUCGGUUUGUGUAGGAUAGGUGGGAGACUGUGAAGUGGUCACGCUAGUGGUUGUGGAGUCGAAAGUUGAAAUACCACUCUGAUCGGAUUGAGCACCU
rnacentral:rRNA from 1 species